GUACGUAGGGGGCAAGCGUUAUCCGGAAUCAUUGGGCGUAAAGGGUGCGUAGGCGGCCCUAUGGGUCAGAGGUUAAAGGCUACGGCUCAACCGUAGUAAGCCUUUGAAACUGUAGGGCUUGAGUGCAGGAGAGGAGAGUGGAAUUCCUAGUGUAGCGGUGAAAUGCGUAGAUAUUAGGAGGAACACCAGUGGCGAAGGCGACUCUCUGGACUGUAACUGACGCUGAGGCACGAAAGCGUGGGUAGCGAACAGGAUUAGAUACCCUGGUAGUCCACGCCGUAAACGAUGAGUGCUAGGUGUUGGGGGUCAAACCUCGGUGCCGCAGUUAACGCAUUAAGCACUCCGCCUGGGGAGUACGUACGCAAGUAUGAA
rnacentral:rRNA from 1 species